AAGGAAUAUUGGCCAAUGGACGCAAGUCUGAACCAGCCAUGCCGCGUGAAGGAUGAAGGUCCUCUGGAUUGUAAACUUCUUUUAUCUGGGACGAAAACGGGAUUUUUAUCUCAAUUGACGGUACCAGAGGAAUAAGCGCCGGCUAACUCCGUGCCAGCAGCCGCGGUAAUACGGAGGGUGCGAGCGUUAUCCGGAUUUACUGGGUUUAAAGGGUGCGUAGGUGGGCUUAUAAGUCAGUGGUGAAAUCUCCGAGCUUAACUUGGAAACUGCCGUUGAUCCUAUAGGUCGUGAGUACAGUGGAGGUAGGCGGAAUGUGUCAUGUAGCGGUGAAAUGCUUAGAUAUGACACAGAACACCGAUUGCGAAGGCAGCUUGCUAAGCUGUAACUGACGCUGAGGCACGGAAGCGUGGGGAGCAAACA
rnacentral:rRNA from 1 species